rnacentral:pre_miRNA from 1 species
GGAGCCAUAGGGAAGGAUCCCAAUCCAGCCUUGGGAAAAGAAAGCUGCCACGAGAGCCUUGGAGAUUGGCGACCAUCCUAACCACUUA